rnacentral:rRNA from 1 species
UACGGGGGGGGCAAGCGUUGUUCGGAAUUACUGGGCGUAAAGGGCUCGUAGGCGGCCAACUAAGUCAUACGUGAAAUCCCUCGGCUUAACCGGGGAACUGCGUCUGAUACUGGAUGGCUUGAGUUCGGGAGAGGGAUGCGGAAUUCCAGGUGUAGCGGUGAAAUGCGUAGAUAUCGGAAGGAACACCAGUGGCGAAAGCGGCUUCCUGGUCCGACACCGACGUUCAGGCACGAAAGCGUGGGGAGCAAACAGG